rnacentral:rRNA from 1 species
UUUAAAGUCUGACCUGCCCACUGAAUUUAAAAAAUUUGAAGGGCCGCGGUAUUUUGACCGUGCAAAGGUAGCAUAAUCAUUAGUCUUUUAAUUGAAGGCUGGAAUGAAUGGUUGGACGAGGUAUUGACUGUCUCAAUGUAAAUGAAAAUAGAAUUUAUCUUUUAAGUCAAAAGACUUAAAUAGUAUUAGAGGACGAGAAGACCCUAUAGAGCUUUAUAUUUAAAGAUUAUUAUUUAUUUGGAAGUAUUUUUAUAAUAGUGAUAUAAGUAUUUUGUUGGGGUGACAGGAAGAUAUAAUAAACUCUUUUUAGUUUAAUUACAUUUAUUUAUGAAUUGAUGAUCCAUUAUUAGUGAUUACAAGACUAAGUUACCUUAGGGAUAACAGCGUAAUCUUUUUCGAGAGUUCUUAUCGACAAAA